GCCAGUGUGGUGUAGUGGUUUGAGUGUUGGACUAUGAUUCUGGAGGUUGGGGUUUGAAUCCCAGCCAUGGAA